AUUGAUAUACCUGCAAGCUUAAAUAAGGAACAUGGUUUUGAAAGAUAUAGCAAGUGUUCACCUGGAUGUCUAUCUCCUGCAUAUCGAUUAGCCAAAACACAAGCAAUAAUACCAUUUGGUAUUUUAAAGGGCACAAUUUUAGUAGGUGGGGGAGGUUUCUCCACCACAAUGGCGUUGGGGCUAUUCCCCACAAGCAACCAACCAAGAGAAGAGUUGUCCAUAGGUAGAAAAGAAACGGAAAUAGGAAAACAAAAACAACACG
rnacentral:lncRNA from 1 species